rnacentral:rRNA from 1 species
GAUGAACGCUGGCGGCGUGCCUAAUACAUGCAAGUCGAGCGAACGGACGAGAAGCUUGCUUUUCUGAUGUUAGCGGCGGACGGGUGAGUAACACGUGGAUAACCUACCUAUAAGACUGGGAUAACUUCGGGAAACCGGAGCUAAUACCGGAUAAUAUUUUGAACCGCAUGGUUCAAAAGUGAAAGACGGUCUUGCUGGCACUUAUCGAUGGAUCCGCGCUGCAUUAGCUAGUUGGUAAGGUAACGGCUUACCAAGGCAACGAGGCAUAGCCGACCUGAGAGGGGGAUCGGCCACACUGGAACUGAGACACGGUCCAGACUCCUACGGGAGGCAGCAGUAGGGAAUCUGCCGCAAUGGGCGAAAGCCUGACGGAGCAACGCCGCGUGAGUGAUGAAGGUCUUCGGAUCGUAAAACUCUGUUAUUAGGUAAGAACAUAUGUGUAAGUAACUGUGCACAUCUUGACGGUACCUAAUCAGAAAGCCACGGCUAACUACGUG